GGUUGGUUUGUUUUACUUGAGUUUUUUGACUAGUAUUUGAUUCUGCAGAUGAAUAAGUCAGCGCUUCUACUCUUGCUCGUCAUCGGACUCCUCGUCCUCACCGAAACUACAGAAGCGUUUUAUAUCGACACUGAUGUUUCAGCUAAAGAAUUGAUGGAAGAACUAAAAAGGGCUGAUCAUUUGGAUUCUUAUGAAAAUGAAUCUAGGGGUUCUAGGGGUAUGUGGUAGGUCGUGGUGAUUUUUGACGACUUAAAUUGCUUAAUACUUGCUGUCAAUAUCAAUAAACCAACAUUACGCGUA